AUCUUAGGCAAAUCCGGGGUACUCUAUGCUGAGAUCUGAUAGCAAGCUGUACUUGUACAGCGAAGUGGUUGAUGCCAUGCUUCCAGGAAAAGUCUCUAAGCUUCAGUUACACAGGAAUCGUACCCGAAACCGACACAGGUGGUCAGGUCGAGUAGACCAAGGCGCUUGAGAGAACUCUGCUGAAGGAACUAGGCAAAAUGGUACCGUAACUUCGGGAGAAGGUACGCUGUUGUUGGUGAUGGAACUCGCUUCCUGAGCUGACGACAGCCGCAGAAACCAGGCCGCUGCAACUGUUUAUUAAAAACAUAGCACUCUGCAAACACGAAAGUGGACGUAUAGGGUGUGAUGCCUGCCCGGUGCUGGAAGGUUAAUUGAUGGGGUUAGCGUAAGCGAAGCUCUUGAUCGAAGCCCCAGUAAACGGCGGCCGUAACUAUAACGGUCCUAAGGUAGCGAAAUUCCUUGUCGGGUAAGUUCCGACCUGCACGAAUGGCAUAAUGAUGGCGGCGCUGUCUCCAGCAGAGGCUCAGUGAAAUCGAAAUCGCUGUGAAGAUGCAGUGUACCCGCGGCUAGACGGAAAGACCCCGUGAACCUUUACUGCAGCUUGACACUGAACUUUGACCUUACUUGUGUAGGAUAGGUGGGAGGCUUUGAAGCUGGAACGCUAGUUCCAGUGGAGCCGUCCUUGAAAUACCACCCUGGUAAUGUUGAGGUUCUAACUCUGUCCCGUGAUCCGGGACGAGGACCGUGUCUGGUGGGUAGUUUGACUGGGGCGGUCUCCUCCUAAAGAGUAACGGAGGAGUACGAAGGUGCGCUCAGCGUGGUCGGAAAUCACGCGUAGAGUAUAAAGGCAAAAGCGCGCUUAACUGCGAGACCCACAAGUCGAGCAGGUACGAAAGUAGGUCUUAGUGAUCCGGUGGUUCUGUAUGGAAGGGCCAUCGCUCAACGGAUAAAAGGUACUCUGGGGAUAACAGGCUGAUACCGCCCAAGAGUUCAUAUCGACGGCGGUGUUUGGCACCUCGAUGUCGGCUCAUCUCAUCCUGGGGCUGAAGCAGGUCCCAAGGGUAUGGCUGUUCGCCAUUUAAAGAGGUACGCGAGCUGGGUUUAGAACGUCGUGAGACAGUUCGGUCCCUAUCUACCGUGGGCGCUGGAAAUUUGAGAGGAUCUGCUCCUAGUACGAGAGGACCAGAGUGGACGAACCUCUGGUGUACCGGUUGUGACGCCAGUCGCAUCGCCGGGUAGCUAUGUUCGGAAGGGAUAACCGCUGAAAGCAUCUAAGCGGGAAGCCUACCUCAAGAUAAGAUUUCCCUAGGACUUUAUGUCCUCUAAAGAGCCGUUCGAGACUAGGACGUUGAUAGGUUGGAUGUGGAAGCAUAGUGAUAUGUGAAGCUGACCAAUACUAAUUGCUCGUGAGGCUUGACUAU
rnacentral:rRNA from 1 species